rnacentral:tRNA from 1 species
AAUAUAAUGCCUGAUUUAAAAGGGUAGCUUUGAUAGAGCUAAUUAUGUAGUUAUUCUACUUAUAUUAC